CUGUGGGAUUUUAAUGUCAUAUGUUUUAUUAAUAUUGUAUUUAGAAGUGUUUUCAAUAAUCAUUAUAGUAUGCUGAAGUAAAAGAUUGUUUGUGUUUGUCUGAGAGAGUGGAAAGUUACUGAGAGGCCUCUGUGAGCCUCUGUGUUUUCAAAAGUUUCAAGGUCGUGGUUGGAUUAGUGAGGAAUUUGCAGGUGGCAACAUUCAAGAUAAAGAGCGAGGCUUAAAGAAGAAAAGCAGACAGAUAACCAUGUAUUAACUAAUGUUUUAAUAUUCACAGGAUAAAAUAUGCAAUAUAUUUCUUACUUAAUCAAUAUUAAUCAUUGAAUAAUUGAUGUAAUAAAGAUAUGAUGUUGUCUUUGAUAAAUGUGUAUUAACCAAUGAAAUGAAGGUUGCAUACAAAAUAAUCUAAUGGGGGAUGGCAGCUCAACCUUGAAGAACAGAAUCUCCUGCGCUUGUUCUUUUUGUGUGUGUGUGUGUUUUCUUCCCUGACAGAUGUUUUUUAAUAAUGAUUAAAGUGUUUUGCUUAGAAGUAGUAUUGCAGUAAAAGAUGUAAUAUGUGUUUAUCUAUCUAGAGAAGUUGAUGUGUGCCUUAUUCAUAUAAUCAAUUUUACGAAUAAUGAAAUGAUGUCAUUGAAAUGUGUUUUACAUAAUAAUCACUUUCAUUUUACAGCUUAUGUUUUUUAUGAAUAAAUGAAUGUUUUAUUAAUGAUUUGGUUUUAAGAAAGCAUUAUUAUAUUCUAUGCGAAGUCAAUCAUAUGUGAAGUGGAGGAGUACUGGGGAGGAAGUUACGGGCUGCAUGGCCCUCAGGGAUGAGCGGAGAAAAGUUUGUUUUUUCUUUGCUGUGUGUGUGUCUAUCUUCUGCAGGCUAAAAUUGGGUGGUGAUGGAGUCAGAUGUACGAGGGGAACGGCCUUUGUGGGAGGAGACUCUAAGAAGAAGAUCGACGUCACAUAUUUUAUAAAUAUGCAUGUUACUUUUUGAGGUCGUCGUUCAUUGCUUGAGAUGACCCAGCGCUGUAAAACUUUUUCAUAUCUGAUCAAUAAAUAACUUAAUUUUAAUACCGUGUCUUUCCUCUAAUUAUGAACAUGCAAUGGACCCUUAAAGUCCAACAAUUGGUGACCCCGACGUUCUUUGGAGGGAAGUUUGAGGAGAGGAAGGAGGGUUUCGUAUUGAAGAAACCAGAGUAAGCGAGGACUCCCUUUCAACACAAAAGAGCGCUCUAUUAAAAUAAGGUAAGCAGAAGCCUGUUUUAUCGAAUUCUGCUAAUUGGAUAUACCAAAUUACUUGUGUUGAUAAGGAGAUCCGAACUGAAUUACAAAUUUAAAUUUUUAUAAGUUGAUCAGAGUGAAAAACUUUUUGAAAUUUUUGAAUUUUGUUAUUAAAUGAAAGGUUGGAGGCCUUUAACGCAUUAGGUGUUAUAAAGUACCGACUCGGUUGAAGCCGUAGGGGGUGUUACAGCAGCCCGUUGGAUGAAAGGUCCACGAAUACUGAAAGAGAAUUAAAUAAUAGGUUGGAGGCCUUUAACGCAUUAGGUGUUAUAAAGUACCGACUCGGUUGAAGCCGUAGGGGGUGUUACAGCAGCCCGUGGAUGAGAGGUCCACGAAUACUGAAAGAGAAUUAAAUAAUAGGUUGGAGGCCUUUAACGCAUUAGGUGUUAUAAAGUACCGACUCGGUUGAAGCCGUAGGGGGUGUUACAGCAGCCCGUUGGAUGAAAGGUCCACGAAUACUGAAAGAGAAUUAAAUAAUAGGUUGGAGGCCUUUAACGCAUUAGGUGUUAUAAAGUACCGACUCAGGUUGUAUAGCCUGUAGGGGGUGUACAGCAGCCCGUUGGAUGAGAGGUCCACGAAUACUGGAAAGAAGAAGUGACGUCUUAAUGUGAAUAGUAUUGUUGAUAUAUUGUUGUUAUUUUUGUGACAUUUCUGUGAAAGUUGUAUUGUGUUUGUAUUGCGGGUGAAACUCCUGAAAACUACUGGUGUAUAUAUCUUUCUGCUAGAAAAGAGUGACGUGUUGUGCUUUUUGAAGUUUUGAAUGCUUGUAAAUUGUGUGAAAAUGGCUAAAUUUAAAAAAAAAAUGUGAUGAGUAUGGUUGCCUAACAGUGUAUGUGCAAUGGCAAAAAGGCAAGUAGUUUGGAAAGGGACCAACUGUAAAAGACUCAGAAACAGAUUUGAGAAAGGGGACGAUUACAAAGAGAAAAGGGGAGGUUGACAGUUGUGCUGUGAGCGAGCAAAAGGUAGAACAAGGAAGCACUGAGCCAGUACCCUCAGCCCCACCCAUGGCUCCUCCUCAAGUGAAGUCACUAUACCCCUCACUGCACACACCUCCUCCUUAUGAGGAAAAGUCUGUUUCGAUCUCAAAGCAACAGCUGGUGUUAACAGUAAACAGUGGUGAACUAGAUGCUGAAUUUGAUGAAAUAAAGGCCCUGAAAAUAAAAAUGGAAAGAUUACAACAAACAAUUAUGACACAGGGAGAGAUAAUCACAACUAUAUUAAGAUUACAGAGAAAUACAAAUGAUAGCAACAUGGGAAAGAGAUCUUGUGUAUUACACAGACAGGGCCAUAAACAAAUCACACAAACAGAACUAGUAGAGGUAGAUAAGAUUAAGAAUAAGCUUUUGAAACUGCAGCUAGAACAGACUAAACAGGCAAACACAAAAAAGAAACAAAUGCCCCAGCAGGCCCAACCAACACCAGUAGCUAUGACAACUAGUGUCCCGGACAACGUACAAUAUCCCAAUCAGCCCAUAGAUCCAUAUACAGGCCCACCCUAUAAAGGAAACCCGUGGGAAGGAUAUAACCAACAGAGAAGGGGAGGGCCAAGAAGGAGUAGUAGACCAAAACGGGGAGGUUUUGGAGGUUUUGUCAGGAAUGCAUGUUAUGUGUGCGGACAAGAAGGUCAUUGGGCCAGAAGAUGCCCUCAAAAUGGGUCACAGCCCCAAUAUUCCGGUGUAAGGUAUCCACUUAACGCACCAAAUGCAAGGGGAUGGGGUCCCAAUAGAGGAGGUGGCGGGCGUGGAAAUGGUGGUUUUGCCAGGGGACCACCAGCGCCACACAACCCAUCACAACCAGAUUUAAUGGCGCCUAUGCACCCAACAUGGGGCCAAAGGGAGUGAUGCGGAUGAAUAAGGGGGCACACAGGAACCCACCAUGAAAGGAAUGGCUGGGCCUCUCAUGGACCAUUAAGAGCCCUAGUGGAUAAUGGGCCUAAAUAGUCCACCGUAAAAAAAAAAAAAAAGCUUCAAUAACGGUGGGUACAAUGGGUUUCUGGUAAAAUUGAAAAGUGACUAUCAACAAAUCACUACCCUACAAGGUAGCAAACCAGUCUAGUUUGCACACAUUUCUGUAUUCCUCCAACACACUUGUUAAUAAUAGAUAGGGACCUAGAAAUUACAAUGACCUGUCAAUGUUGUAAUGUGCCCCCGGACGGACGGGGCACAAAUGAAUGGCUAAUUAAACUAUGGAGAGAUAAAGCCUUAUGUCUGAUCCAGGACCAGAGACUUAUGUUAUUUUUUAUUUUUUUUGGGCCUUAUAAACAACAAACAAUAGAUAAUAAGGUAUGUACCAAUAUAUAAAACGGUGUCUUAGAUAAAGUUUACCAAAAAUCCUGGCCAGCCGAACCUGAAAUUAUGUCCAUGAGGGUGUAAACAUGACUGAUCUAAUCACUGAGGGUGAGCCAUAUAACUGCAUACCAUUGACUGAAAAAAAAAAGCAAACAAAUUGAGAGAUGGUUUGUUCGCGGUACCACUGACAACUCCCCCACCGGUAAUCACGUUAUUUAUGGAUGGCUUUGUUUUAGAGCAUCAGAUGGUAUGCUAAAGGCAGGGUUUGCUGUGGUUGACCAGGUUGAGGGUGAUUUUGUGACUAGAGUGAGUGGUAAAUUGGAGGGUAAGCAGUCAGCACAGACAGCUGAAAUGAUAGCUGUUAUCAAAGCCUUGCACUACACUGGUGAAGAGAGGGUGAUUAUUUAUAGUGACUCUGCAUAUGUGAUUGGUGCAGUAUAUAUGGAACUGCCAUAUGGCAGAUAGGUGGGUUAGAAACCAGGAAAGGCCGGCCUAUAAUAAAUAAAUGCUAGCGAAGCCUGACAUAUAAUACAGGCUGUGAAGGUACCUAAUGAAGUGGUUGUUGUCAACUGCCUAAUAAACCACUUAUAUCCCCAACCAUGGUUUCCCAAGACAAAGUUAGAUCUGACAAAUUGACAAACACGCACUGGAAUUGACAUAUAGUUUCGGGGCUGCUCAUCGCCCCAAUGCCAGAGCAAAGCUGACAUAAUGAACCUGACUUUGACAUUAAAACUUGACUUGACAAAAUCUGUGCACAGACAAAAAUAACAUGGCUUGACGAAUUACCAAUUGCAUUAAUGUCUAUUCGCUCUUCUGUUAACAGGAUUUCUGGUUUCACAUCCUUUGAAUUGCUUACAGGUCGACAGUUUCCAGGCCCACGGAACGCCUUGGUGUAGGAUCCAAUCCUGCCACUAACUAAUGAUGUUUAUUUCUACAAACUAACUGCUAUGAUUAAACAUUUUUCCUGCCAGGCUACACGACACCGGGACAACGACCAAGCUGUUACAAAUGAUGAUUGAGUGAAAGUGAAGGUGUUCAGACGGUGCUGGGCCGAACCGAGACGGUCCAGGCCACCGAGAGUAAAAGCAAAAACCUAACAUGGUGUCGAGCUACAGGUCAAAGGCGACACCUGGUUCCAUCUCUCUUCUUGUGUUCCAUGUGAUUUUCCCAGCAGGUCUCUCACAGAAAUCGGUGUGGACCUGAGGACUCAGGUCCAAGAGAGGGAGAGUGUUGAAAGUGAAAGUGAAAGUAAAUCAGCUGGAAUACAGAGAGAACAAACAGGAAGUGAAACAUCAGGGGUAACACUCGCACAACACCAACAAUAAAGUCAACAAACACUCUGUAAAAUUGUGCAUAAAAAAGGUGACAUUUUUUCCAGCCCAGAAACAGAACCACAAAAGGUUGUAAGACAGAACAAACACACAGGUGAAUGUGCAGUUACCCAUGAGGACGACGGCAGAUUGAUUUUUCAUUUAAUAACAAAACAAAACUGUACUGAUUUACCAACAUAUGAGGAUUUUACCAACAGCCUUAGAUGCAUGAGAGAUUGGUGUGAGGAAAAAGGAAUAACAAGUGUAUCUACUCCCCGGCUGGGGUGUGGGUUAGAUAAAUUGGACUUCCAUAAGGUGGUGGAAAUCCUGACAGAAGUGUUCAGGGACCUGAACAUCACAAUUACUGUUUAUUCAUUAUAACCUGGGUAGCUACAUAUUAUAUUGACCUUUGAAUUUCUUAAGUUUCUUAUAUAAUCUUACAUUUCAAUGUUUCCUUUUGAACCUAAUUUUUAAGUUUCUUAUACAAUUUUACAGCAUUAAUUUUACAUUUCAAUUUUUUUUUGAAUUUAUGAUUGUUAUUUGAGUAUUAGCCAAUAGGCAUAAGUGUAUUUUUUCCACAGGGAUGAAGCUAUAUGGAGAUUGGAAGGUUCUGUGGGCACUAGGGGUUAUAGCUGCAAUAAUAAUCACCAUAAUAUUUGGCAUAAGCAAUGGAGGUAAUCAGAAAAUUGACAAAAGGUCCAAAACAACACCACAAGAUUCAUGUGUACAGAGAUAUGGGGGAAUUGAAUUGAAUUACACAAAAAAUUUAACGACGUCAUACACCUUUGAUUUAUGCAGUAUGAUAGACUGUGGAGGCAAUAGUAAUGUCUAUAGUGGUGUCCAUCUGAGUAUUUGUGGCCAUACUGGUCACUUGUGGAUGUUGUUGUAUCCCCUGUCUCAGAUCCCUGUGUAACAGGCUGAUAGUGUCUGCAAUAGAGAAAAAAGAAAAUCCACCCCCAUACAGCAUGCCCCUAUUAGGCCUACAGAACCUAGAGAAUGAUGAAGGAGAAAAUGUGUGACCUCUUUCAGAGGUCAAGAGAGGGAAUUGUGGGAUUUUAAUGUCAUAUGUUUUAUUAAUAUUGUAUUUAGAAGUGUUUUCAAUAAUCAUUAUAGUAUGCUGAAGUAAAAGAUUGUUUGUGUUUGUCUGAGAGAGUGGAAAGUUACUGAGAGGCCUCUGUGAGCCUCUGUGUUUGCAAAAGUUACAAGGUCGUGGUUGGAUUAGUGAGGAAUUUGCAGGUGGCAACAUUCAAGAUAAAGAGCGAGGCUUAAAGAAGAAAAGCAGACAGAUAACCAUGUAUUAACUAAUGUUUUAAUAUUCACAGGAUAAAAUAUGCAAUAUAUUUCUUACUUAAUCAAUAUUAAUCAUUGAAUAAUUGAUGUAAUAAAGAUAUGAUGUUGUCUUUGAUAAAUGUGUAUUAACCAAUGAAAUGAAGGUUGCAUACAAAAUAAUCUAAUGGGGGGAUGGCAGCUCAACCUUGAAGAACAGAAUCUCCUGCGCUUGUUCUUUUUGUGUGUGUGUGUUUUCUUCCCUGACAGAUGUUUUUUAAUAAUGAUUAAAGUGUUUUGCUUAGAAGUAGUAUUGCAGUAAAAGAUUUAAUAUGUGUUUAUCUAUCUAAAGAAGUUAAUGUGUGCCUUAUUCAUAUAAUCAAUUUUACGAAUAAUGAAAUGAUGUCAUUGAAAUGUGUUUUACAUAAUAAUCACUUUUAUUUUACAGCUUAUGUUUUUUAUGAAUAAAUGAAUGUUUUAUUAAUGAUUUGGUUUUAAGAAAGCAUUAUUAUAUUCUAUGUGAAGUCAAUCAUAUGUGAAGUGGAGGAGUACUGGGGAGGAAGUUACGGGCUGCAUGGCCCUCAGGGAUGAGCGGAGAAAAGUUUGUUUUUUCUUUGCUGUGUGUGUGUCUAUCUUCUGCAGGCUAAAAUUGGGUGGUGAUGGAGUCAGAUGUACGAGGGGAACGGCCUUUGUGGGAGGAGACUCUAAGAAGAAGAUCGACGUCACAUAUUUUAUAAAUAUGCAUGUUACUUUUUGAGGUCGUCGUUCAUUGCUUGAGAUGACCCAGCGCUGUAAAACUUUUUCAUAUCUGAUCAAUAAAUAACUUAAUUUUAAUACCGUGUCUUUCCUCUAAUUAUGAACAUGCAAUGGACCCUUAAAGUCCAACAAUUGGUGACCCCGACGUUCUUUGGAGGGAAGUUUGAGGAGAGGAAGGAGGGUUUCGUAUUGAAGAAACCAGAGUAAGCGAGGACUCCCUUUCAACACAAAAGAGCGCUCUAUUAAAAUAAGGUAAGCAGAAGCCUGUUUUAUCGAAUUCUGCUAAUUGGAUAUACCAAAUUACUUGUGUUGAUAAGGAGAUCCGAACUGAAUUACAAAUUUAAAUUUUUAUAAGUUGAUCAGAGUGAAAAACUUUUUGAAAUUUUUGAAUUUUGUUAUUAAAUGAAAGGUUGGAGGCCUUUAACGCAUUAGGUGUUAUAAAGUACCGACUCGGUUGAAGCCGUAGGGGGUGUUACAGCAGCCCGUUGGAUGAAAGGUCCACGAAUACUGAAAGAGAAUUAAAUAAUAGGUUGGAGGCCUUUAACGCAUUAGGUGUUAUAAAGUACCGACUCGGUUGAAGCCGUAGGGGGUGUUACAGCAGCCCGUGGAUGAGAGGUCCACGAAUACUGGAAAGAAGAAGUGACGUCUUAAUGUGAAUAGUAUUGUUGAUAUAUUGUUGUUAUUUUUGUGACAUUUCUGUGAAAGUUGUAUUGUGUUUGUAUUGCGGGUGAAACUCCUGAAAACUACUGGUGUAUAUAUCUUUCUGCUAGAAAAGAGUGACGUGUUGUGCUUUUUGAAGUUUUGAAUGCUUGUAAAUUGUGUGAAAAUGGCUAAAUUUAAAAAAAAAAUGUGAUGAGUAUGGUUGCCUAACAGUGUAUGUGCAAUGGCAAAAAGGCAAGUAGUUUGGAAAGGGACCAACUGUAAAAGACUCAGAAACAGAUUUGAGAAAGGGGACGAUUACAAAGAGAAAAGGGGAGGUUGACAGUUGUGCUGUGAGCGAGCAAAAGGUAGAACAAGGAAGCACUGAGCCAGUACCCUCAGCCCCACCCAUGGCUCCUCCUCAAGUGAAGUCACUAUACCCCUCACUGCACACACCUCCUCCUUAUGAGGAAAAGUCUGUUUCGAUCUCAAAGCAACAGCUGGUGUUAACAGUAAACAGUGGUGAACUAGAUGCUGAAUUUGAUGAAAUAAAGGCCCUGAAAAUAAAAAUGGAAAGAUUACAACAAACAAUUAUGACACAGGGAGAGAUAAUCACAACUAUAUUAAGAUUACAGAGAAAUACAAAUGAUAGCAACAUGGGAAAGAGAUCUUGUGUAUUACACAGACAGGGCCAUAAACAAAUCACACAAACAGAACUAGUAGAGGUAGAUAAGAUUAAGAAUAAGCUUUUGAAACUGCAGCUAGAACAGACUAAACAGGCAAACACAAAAAAGAAACAAAUGCCCCAGCAGGCCCAACCAACACCAGUAGCUAUGACAACUAGUGUCCCGGACAACGUACAAUAUCUCAAUCAGCCCAUAGAUUCAUAUACAGGCCCACCCUAUAAAGGAAACCCGUGGGAAGGAUAUAACCAACAGAGAAGGGGAGGGCCAAGAAGGAGUAGUAGACCAAAACGGGGAGGUUUUGGAGGUUUUGUCAGGAAUGCAUGUUAUGUGUGCGGACAAGAAGGUCAUUGGGCCAGAAGAUGCCCUCAAAAUGGGUCACAGCCCCAAUAUUCCGGUGUAAGGUAUCCACUUAACGCACCAAAUGCAAGGGGAUGGGGUCCCAAUAGAGGAGGUGGCGGGCGUGGAAAUGGUGGUUUUGCCAGGGGACCACCAGCGCCACACAACCCAUCACAACCAGAUUUAAUGGCGCCUAUGCACCCAACAUGGGGCCAAAGGGAGUGAUGCGGAUGAAUAAGGGGGCACACAGGAACCCACCAUGAAAGGAAUGGCUGGGCCUCUCAUGGACCAUUAAGAGCCCUAGUGGAUAAUGGGCCUAAAUAGUCCACCGUAAAAAAAAAAAAAAGCUUCAAUAACGGUGGGUACAAUGGGUUUCUGGUAAAAUUGAAAAGUGACUAUCAACAAAUCACUACCCUACAAGGUAGCAAACCAGUCUAGUUUGCACACAUUUCUGUAUUCCUCCAACACACUAGUUAAUAAUAGAUAGGGACCUAGAAAUUACAAUGACCUGUCAAUGUUGUAAUGUGCCCCCGGACGGACGGGGCACAAAUGAAUGGCUAAUUAAACUAUGGAGAGAUAAAGCCUUAUGUCUGAUCCAGGACCAGAGACUUAUGUUAUUUUUUUUUUUUUUUUUGGGCCUUAUAAACAACAAACAAUAGAUAAUAAGGUAUGUACCAAUAUAUAAAACGGUGUCUUAGAUAAAGUUUACCAAAAAUCCUGGCCAGCCGAACCUGAAAUUAUGUCCAUGAGGGUGUAAACAUGACUGAUCUAAUCACUGAGGGUGAGCCAUAUAACUGCAUACCAUUGACUGAAAAAAAAAGCAAACAAAUUGAGAGAUGGUUUGUUCGCGGUACCACUGACAACUCCCCCACCGGUAAUCACGUUAUUUAUGGAUGGCUUUGUUUUAGAGCAUCAGAUGGUAUGCUAAAGGCAGGGUUUGCUGUGGUUGACCAGGUUGAGGGUGAUUUUGUGACUAGAGUGAGUGGUAAAUUGGAGGGUAAGCAGUCAGCACAGACAGCUGAAAUGAUAGCUGUUAUCAAAGCCUUGCACUACACUGGUGAAGAGAGGGUGAUUAUUUAUAGUGACUCUGCAUAUGUGAUUGGUGCAGUAUAUAUGGAACUGCCAUAUGGCAGAUAGGUGGGUUAGAAACCAGGAAAGGCCGGCCUAUAAUAAAUAAAUGCUAGCGAAGCCUGACAUAUAAUACAGGCUGUGAAGGUACCUAAUGAAGUGGUUGUUGUCAACUGCCUAAUAAACCACUUAUAUCCCCAACCAUGGUUUCCCAAGACAAAGUUAGAUCUGACAAAUUGACAAACACGCACUGGAAUUGACAUAUAGUUUCGGGGCUGCUCAUCGCCCCAAUGCCAGAGCAAAGCUGACAUAAUGAACCUGACUUUGACAUUAAAACUUGACUUGACAAAAUCUGUGCACAGACAAAAAUAACAUGGCUUGACGAAUUACCAAUUGCAUUAAUGUCUAUUCGCUCUUCUGUUAACAGGAUUUCUGGUUUCACAUCCUUUGAAUUGCUUACAGGUCGACAGUUUCCAGGCCCACGGAACGCCUUGGUGUAGGAUCCAAUCCUGCCACUAACUAAUGAUGUUUAUUUCUACAAACUAACUGCUAUGAUUAAACAUUUUUCCUGCCAGGCUACACGACACCGGGACAACGACCAAGCUGUUACAAAUGAUGAUUGAGUGAAAGUGAAGGUGUUCAGACGGUGCUGGGCCGAACCGAGACGGUCCAGGCCACCGAGAGUAAAAGCAAAAACCUAACAUGGUGUCGAGCUACAGGUCAAAGGCGACACCUGGUUCCAUCUCUCUUCUUGUGUUCCAUGUGAUUUUCCCAGCAGGUCUCUCACAGAAAUCGGUGUGGACCUGAGGACUCAGGUCCAAGAGAGGGAGAGUGUUGAAAGUGAAAGUGAAAGUAAAUCAGCUGGAAUACAGAGAGAACAAACAGGAAGUGAAACAUCAGGGGUAACACUCGCACAACACCAACAAUAGAGUCAACAAACACUCUGUAAAAUUGUGCAUAAAAAAGGUGACAUUUUUUCCAGCCCAGAAACAGAACCACAAAAGGUUGUAAGACAGAACAAACACACAGGUGAAUGUGCAGUUACCCAUGAGGACGACGGCAGAUUGAUUUUUCAUUUAAUAACAAAACAAAACUGUACUGAUUUACCAACAUAUGAGGAUUUUACCAACAGCCUUAGAUGCAUGAGAGAUUGGUGUGAGGAAAAAGGAAUAACAAGUGUAUCUACUCCCCGGCUGGGGUGUGGGUUAGAUAAAUUGGACUUCCAUAAGGUGGUGGAAAUCCUGACAGAAGUGUUCAGGGACCUGAACAUCACAAUUACUGUUUAUUCAUUAUAACCUGGGUAGCUACAUAUUAUAUUGACCUUUGAAUUUCUUAAGUUUCCUAUAUAAUCUUACAUUUCAAUGUUUCCUUUUGAACCUAAUUUUUAAGUUUCUUAUACAAUUUUACAGCAUUAAUUUUACAUUUCAAUUUUUUUUGAAUUUAUGAUUGUUAUUUGAGUAUUAGCCAAUAGGCAUAAGUGUAUUUUUUCCACAGGGAUGAAGCUAUAUGGAGAUUGGAAGGUUCUGUGGGCACUAGGGGUUAUAGCUGCAAUAAUAAUCACCAUAAUAUUUGGCAUAAGCAAUGGAGGUAAUCAGAAAAUUGACAAAAGGUCCAAAACAACACCACAAGAUUCAUGUGUACAGAGAUAUGGGGGAAUUGAAUUGAAUUACACAAAAAAAUUUAACGACGUCAUACACCUUUGAUUUAUGCAGUAUGAUAGACUGUGGAGGCAAUAGUAAUGUCUAUAGUGGUGUCCAUCUGAGUAUUUGUGGCCAUACUGGUCACUUGUGGAUGUUGUUGUAUCCCCUGUCUCAGAUCCCUGUGUAACAGGCUGAUAGUGUCUGCAAUAGAGAAAAAAGAAAAUCCACCCCCAUACAGCAUGCCCCUAUUAGGCCUACAGAACCUAGAGAAUGAUGAAGGAGAAAAUGUGUGACCUCUUUCAGAGGUCAAGAGAGGGAAUUGUGGGAUUUUAAUGUCAUAUGUUUUAUUAAUAUUGUAUUUAGAAGUGUUUUCAAUAAUCAUUAUAGUAUGCUGAAGUAAAAGAUUGUUUGUGUUUGUCUGAGAGAGUGGAAAGUUACUGAGAGGCCUCUGUGAGCCUCUGUGUUUUCAAAAGUUACAAGGUCGUGGUUGGAUUAGUGAGGAAUUUGCAGGUGGCAACAUUCAAGAUAAAGAGCGAGGCUUAAAGAAGAAAAGCAGACAGAUAACCAUGUAUUAACUAAUGUUUUAAUAUUCACAGGAUAAAAUAUGCAAUAUAUUUCUUACUUAAUCAAUAUUAAUCAUUGAAUAAUUGAUGUAAUAAAGAUAUGAUGUUGUCUUUGAUAAAUGUGUAUUAACCAAUGAAAUGAAGGUUGCAUACAAAAUAAUCUAAUGGGGGGAUGGCAGCUCAACCUUGAAGAACAGAAUCUCCUGCGCUUGUUCUUUUUGUGUGUGUGUGUGUUUUCUUCCCUGACAGAUGUUUUUUAAUAAUGAUUAAAGUGUUUUGCUUAGAAGUAGUAUUGCAGUAAAAGAUGUAAUAUGUGUUUAUCUAUCUAGAGAAGUUGAUGUGUGCCUUAUUCAUAUAAUCAAUUUUACGAAUAAUGAAAUGAUGUCAUUGAAAUGUGUUUUACAUAAUAAUCACUUUCAUUUUACAGCUUAUGUUUUUUAUGAAUAAAUGAAUGUUUUAUUAAUGAUUUGGUUUUAAGAAAGCAUUAUUAUAUUCUAUGUGAAGUCAAUCAUAUGUGAAGUGGAGGAGUACUGGGGAGGAAGUUACGGGCUGCAUGGCCCUCAGGGAUGAGCGGAGAAAAGUUUGUUUUUUCUUUGCUGUGUGUGUGUCUAUCUUCUGCAGGCUAAAAUUGGGUGGUGAUGGAGUCAGAUGUACGAGGGGAACGGCCUUUGUGGGAGGAGACUCUAAGAAGAAGAUCGACGUCACAUAUUUUAUAAAUAUGCAUGUUACUUUUUGAGGUCGUCGUUCAUUGCUUGAGAUGACCCAGCGCUGUAAAACUUUUUCAUAUCUGAUCAAUAAAUAACUUAAUUUUAA